UAGGGAAUCUUCGGCAAUGGACGAAAGUCUGACCGAGCAACGCCGCGUGAGUGAAGAAGGUUUUCGGAUCGUAAAACUCUGUUGUUAGAGAAGAACAAGGACGUUAGUAACUGAACGUCCCCUGACGGUAUCUAACCAGAAAGCCACGGCUAACUACGUGCCAGCAGCCGCGGUAAUACGUAGGUGGCAAGCGUUGUCCGGAUUUAUUGGGCGUAAAGCGAGCGCAGGCGGUUUCUUAAGUCUGAUGUGAAAGCCCCCGGCUCAACCGGGGAGGGUCAUUGGAAACUGGGAGACUUGAGUGCAGAAGAGGAGAGUGGAAUUCCAUGUGUAGCGGUGAAAUGCGUAGAUAGAGGGAGGAACACCAGUGGCGAAGGCGGCUCUCUGGUCUGUAACUGACGCUGAGGCUCGAAAGCGUGGGGAGCAAACAGG
rnacentral:rRNA from 1 species